GAUGAACGCUGGCGGCGUGCCUAAUACAUGCAAGUCGAGCGAACAGACGAGGAUCUUUCUCCUCUGACGUUAGCUGCGGACGGGUGAGUAACACGUGGAUAACCUACCUAUAAGACUGGGAUAACUUCGGUAAACCGGAGCUAAUACCGGAUAAUAUAUUGAACCUCAUGGUUCAAUAGUGAAAGACGGUUUUGCUGUCACUUAUAGAUGGAUCCGCGCCGCAUUAGCUAGUUGGUAAGGUAACGGCUUACCAAGGCAACGAUUCGUAGCCGACCUGAGAGGGUCAUCGGCCACACUGGAACUGAGCCACGGUCCACACUCCUACGGGAGGCAGCAGUCGGGAAUCUUACGCCAUGGGCGAAAGCCUGACGGAGCAACGCCGCGUGAGUGAUGAAGGUCUUCGGAUCGUAAAACUCUGUUAUUAGGGAAGAACAAAUGUGUAAGUAACUAUGCACGUCUUGACGGUACCUAAUCAGAAAGCCACGGCUAACUACGUG
rnacentral:rRNA from 1 species